rnacentral:rRNA from 1 species
UAAUUAGAAUUCCCGGUU